CCCCGCUGCCCGUGCUUCCCGCUUCUCCAGCCGCGCCGACCGGGCAGGAAGGGCCCCAUUGCGAAGGGAGGCUCUGCCCUGCCUGCCACGGUCGGACCCAAGAAGGACGAGCCGAACAUCACCAGCAGACUCAGGUCCUCGCAGGAUAACACCAGGUAUGGAAAGAAAGAAGUACAGAACCUUUUGAAGAAGAAUUAAUAUUCAGUGAUCCAUCUGGGACAAGCCAGAGCAUCACCUGCAAUAGAGGGGUGCUGGCCUUGUAGUCAGGUUGAGUUCCUGAGGGAAUAUGCCAACACCUGUACUGAAGAUGGGGAUAUCAACACCUAUGAAGUGAUGUACUUGGCACAAGGUGUGAAAGGGUACCAGUGACAGAGUAAGAGACCUUCCAGUGUCUGAUUCUGCUCCAAGUCCUUUUUCACAGGCACAACUUGCACAGCCAACAACCCCCACAUGUAUAGUACCCCAAAAGAAGUCCUCAAAUGUCUUUCACCAUGAGAUAAUAAAGAGUAUUAUUUCAUUAUUGAUUAUAUGGAUGGGAACAAUAAACCUGAACUGAAUAAA